GCUUCUGGGCAUUACCAUUCUGAGAAUGCCUGAGCUCGUCUGAUUUCAGAAGCUAAGCCGAGUCAGGCCUGGUUGGUACUUGGAUGAGAGACUGCCUGGGAAUACCAGGUGCUGCAAGCU
rnacentral:rRNA from 1 species